UGCAUCGGCCGGGAAUCGAACCCGGGCCGCCCGCGUGGCAGGCGAGCAUUCUACCACUGAACCACCGUGGUUAAAAAAUCGC